UACGUAGGCAGCAAGCGUUGUUCGGAGUUACUGGGCGUAAAGGGUGCGUAGGCGGCUUUUUAAGUUUGGUGUGAAAUCUCCCGGCUCAACUGGGAGGGUGCGCCGAAUACUGAGAAGCUCGAGUGCGGGAGAGGAAAGUGGAAUUCCUGGUGUAGCGGUGAAAUGCGUAGAUAUCAAGAGGAACACCUGCGGCGAAGGCGGGUUGCUGGGCCGACACUGACGCUGAGGCGCGAAAGCCAGGGGAGCGAACGGG
rnacentral:rRNA from 1 species